AAGAUGGCAGUUCUGCUCACCCCUCUUCUCUAAGAAACAAAACCCAUCAUUUCAUGAUUUGCAGCCCUGAGAAGGACUUGGGGAUGAUAGUUUACAAGAAGCUCUGCAUGACCCAGCAAUGUGCACUUGUAGCCCAGGAAGCUGUAUGCUGGGCUACAUCAAAAGGAACAUGACCGGCAGGUCAAGGGAGGAGAUUGUCCCCCUCUACUCCACUCUUAUGGGAACCCACCUGGAGGACUGCAUUCAGUUCUUGGGGUCCCCAAUACAAAAAGGAUGUGGAUCUGCUUGAACAAGUCCAGAGGACGGCCACAAAGAUGAUCAGAGGGCUGGAGCACCUCUCCAUUGAUGACAGGCAGAGAGAGCUGGGCUUCUUCAGCCUGGAGAAGAGAAGGCUGAAAGUAAAAAACACAGAACUGCACCAGCUACUAAGGAGAAAAAUGACUUCUACAGCUGAACCAAGGACAGUAUCCACCCCUUAUUCCAUACCAUCCAGGUCAUGCUCAGAUCCAAAAUUUUCAAUAUACCAUUGCUUUUUGUCUCUUAAUAUAUAUACAUAUAUGCACACACAAAGAGAGGUAUAUCAUAACUUAUUCCAUGGACCAUCUUUAUAAAUUUGCUGAAUUCAUGAAGUCCAUGAUGUCAGGCUCCAUCUCUUGUAAACGUCUUUCAGGGCAGGAGAGACAAUGUGUAGUGUUGCAUUGUUACCUGCUGACGACACGGCUGAAUUCAUCAGGUCACUGCUGAUCUUGUCUGGUUUCAUCAAAGCUCACUGGCUAUUUUCACCCAAAGUUAAAUCCCCUUGAGGUGUCAGCUGUGAUGCAUGCUUAAAAGGAAAUUUUCGAGGUCGCAGAUACAAGUGUUUAAUUUGCUACGAUUAUGAUUUAUGUGCAACUUGUUAUGAAAGUGGUGCAACAACAACGAGGCAUACAACUGACCAUCCAAUGCAGUGCAUACUAACAAGAGUAGAUUUUGGUACAAGGCCCUGGCUUUGGUAGAUGAAGCACAUAAUGAGAAAGAGGAGGAACAUGUGCAAGCAGUCUUGCCACAGUAAAUGAGACCAACCUCACAACAAAACCUGCAGUGAAACCAGUGCCGAGAAGAAACAAUGACAAGUUAUGGUCAUUGGUGAUUCCCUCCUGUGCAGAAUGGAAGCACCUGUUUACAGACCAGACCCUCUUUUCAGGGAAGUUUGUUGCCUGGGGCCCAAAUUAGAAACAUCACCACAAGACUGAAGGUUGAACUAGGCUCUUCAAACUGCUAUCCCUGCUCCUUCAUGUGGGUACAAAUGAUGUUGCAACAAAAAGUUUGAGGUCAAUCAAAAGAGACUUCAGAGCCCUGGGAAGAAUGUUAAAACAUUCAACUUGCCAGGCAUUAACUGGGAAUACCAUACUGCUGUGAUGAGCAGGUCUUGGAAAUUCUUGAAGUUUGUAGGAGAUAAUUUCUUGUCACAGGUACUCAGUAACCAACUAGGAAAGAUGCCAUUGUAGACUUGUUAUUUAUGAAUAGAGAAGAACUUGUGGGGGAUGUGAUAACAGGUGGCUGUCUUGGACACAGUGAUCACACAAUGGUUGAGUUUAAUGUUUUUGGUGUAAUGAGAAAAAAGGACAGCAGAGUUGCUACCCUGGACUUCAGAAGAGUAAACUAAGCUACUCAGGGAGCUACUUAGCAGCGUCCCCUGGGAAUCUGCUUUUCAGGGCUUAGGAGUCCAUGAAUGCUGGAAGCAUUCCACCUUUUAGAAGCACAGAAGCAGGCAAUUCCAGUGUGUUACAAGUCAAGCAAGCAGGGUAGGAGACCACCUUGGCUGAACAGGGAACUCCUUGUGGAGCUUGAGGAAAAAGAAAUUAAAUGAUCUCUGGAAGCAAGGUUAGGCUUUGCAGGAAGAUUACAGAGCCAUGGUUCAUAUAUGCAGGGAGAAGACACAAAAGACCAAAUCUCAACUAGAGUUGAAAGUAGCCAGUGUUGGGUCAGACAACAAGAAAGGCUUUUUUUUCAGUAUGUUAAUAGCAAAAAGAGGUCUAAAGAAAACAUAAGACCAGUGCUUGUUGAAGAUGGUCACCUGACAAGUAGGGAUGGAAAAAAAAAGCAGAAGCAUUCAGUGCUUUCUUUGCCUCAUUCUUUUAAUAAUACUGAUAGAUCUUG